rnacentral:lncRNA from 1 species
AUCUAGUCUUCAUCACCUCCCUCUGCUGAGCUCAGUAUCAUUUGCGCUCCAACGCAGCAGAUCCUUUACCUUCAAGAUGACUUGGAAAACAGCGUUUGUCCAGCUGUUGGUCAUCAACGCACUUGUCUCCAAAGUUUACAGAGCGACAGAUGGUGCAACAAUCAGCAAUGCCACUGAAUCUGAAGGUAACAAAACGGCAGAAGGCACAGCGGUUACUAAGACCAAUAAACAUAAAGGUGUUCCUUUAAAGGUGUUUGUGACGGAGAUAGACGCCUCAAAAUUCUUCAAAAACCGCAACACUUGCUCAAUUGUCUACUGUUUUGGGCCUCGAGAUUAUGAAGAGGAUCAGCUGACUAAAAAGGAAGAAAAGAGAGAACGUAAUGAAGAAAACAGACAGCAUAAGGAAGAAAAACUAAGAGAGCACAGGGAAAAGGUGGAGGCACGUCUUGAAGAGGUGCGAGAGCAUAGAGAAGAAAAAAGGGCAGAGCACAGGGAAAAGGUGGAGGCACGUCAUGAAGCAGUGCGAGAAAGGUGGAAUCAAAGGCUGGAAGAAUUAAAACAAUGAGCAGCGGGAGACUUUCACUCCAACAGCGUCCAUCCCUGGUUUCUGUUCCGUUCAUUUAAAGCACCUGUUAUUAACUACUUCCACCUUUGCUCAAGGUAACAGACACAGAGGAUAGCAGGAUAGUGGUUAAAAUCCAUGUCUGUUCAUCAUGUGUGUGAAAUUAGAAAGUGUUAAAAGUCAGUUUGUAUUGUAGGAUAAGUUUUCUGCAUGUUGGGUUAUUAUAUAAUUACAGAAAACUCACUCGCAGGCCACAUUUACAGUUGCAUCUGUUGGUAGCACAACCAGCAAAUCAGUCAAUCCCAUUGGAGAAACCAGUGCAUCAGGCACACACUAAUCUCUACCUCAUAAAAUAUUCACUAUAUCACCGACUUAAGUGUGUCCUUCAGUUUGACUCACUCGUGUCUUCAGUCUUCACUCACGUCAGACAAAAUUUUUGGAAUUUGAAAAUAAGUCUACCAGCUGUUUGUAAUCAAGGUGUGCAUAUCACUAAACAUGAAGAAAUAAAAAUGUUGAAUAGAGAAUACGGUAAAAGCA